GGAAGGGCCACAGCUCAGUGGUAGAACAUCUGCUUUGCAUGCAGGAGGUUCCAGGUUCAAUCCCCAGCACCUCCA